GAAAACUAAAUCACCUGCGAUCCCACAAGGCGGACACAAGCACUGCUGGUGUGGUUUUGUAUUAUCUGAUCUCACAAACAAUUUGGUGUUUGGCACACAGGUCAUUUAAGAAUUUUGUAGAAAUCAUUUUUCUUUGCCAUUUCAGAUCUCUGAAAACACUCAAUUUUAAUUACUGAAAAAUAAUCCAUCACAAUCUAUUUAACUUUUCUCCUAUUGGUGAAGACACAGUAAGAAGGCAGCCUUCUGCAAGCCAGAAGAGAGCACUCACCAGAAUCCAGCCAUACUGGCACCCUGAUGUCAG
rnacentral:lncRNA from 1 species